rnacentral:rRNA from 1 species
UACGGAGGGUGCAAGCGUUAAUCGGAAUUACUGGGCGUAAAGCGCGCGUAGGUGGUUUGGUAAGCGAGAUGUGAAAGCCCCGGGCUUAACCUGGGAACGGCAUUUCGAACUGUCAGACUAGAGUGUGGUAGAGGGUAGUGGAAUUUCCUGUGUAGCGGUGAAAUGCGUAGAUAUAGGAAGGAACACCAGUGGCGAAGGCGGCUACCUGGACUAGAUCUGACGCUCAGGUGCGAAAGCGUGGGGAGCAAACAGG